CUCGUAGGUGGCCAACUAAGUCGGACGUGAAAUCCCUCGGCUUAACCGGGGAACUGCGUCCGAUACUGGUUGGCUUGAGUUUGGGAGAGGGAUGCGGAAUUCCAGGUGUAGCGGUGAAAUGCGUAGAUAUCUGGAGGAACACCGGUGGCGAAGGCGGCAUCCUGGACCAACACUGACGCUGAGGAGCGAAAGCCAGGGGGAGCAAAACGG
rnacentral:rRNA from 1 species